CCUACGGGAGGCAGCAGAGGGGAAUAUUGGACAAUGGGGGGAACCCUGAUCCAGCGACGCCGCGUGAGUGAAGAAGUAUUUCGGUAUGUACAGCUCUAUCAGCAGGGAAGAAAGUAAUGACGGUACCUGACUAAGAAGCCCCGGCUAACUACGUGCCAGCAGCCGCGGUAAUACGUAGGGGGCAAGCGUUAUCCGGAUUUACUGGGUGUAAAGGGAGCGUAGACGGCGAUGCAAGUCUGAAGUGAAAGGCGGGGGCCCAACCCCCGGACUGCUUUGGAAACUGUAUGGCUGGAGUGCAGGAGAGGUAAGUGGAAUUCCUAGUGUAGCGGUGAAAUGCGUAGAUAUUAGGAGGAACACCAGUGGCGAAGGCGGCUUACUGGACUGUAACUGACGUUGAGGCUCGAAAGCGUGGGGAGCAAACAGGAUUAGAUACCCCAGUAGUC
rnacentral:rRNA from 1 species